GCUGGUGGCUGCUGCCUGUUAGUGAUGAGAAUUCUGAGGGUUAAAGACCUUGCCUUGGUGAAUUUUGCAUUAGUCUGGCCUGCAGUAAAAGGAGAAAUGCAGACAGAGAGGCUCUUCACAAUCAGUCCACCUGCCUGAGUGUUCCUCCAGGAACUGAAGAAUUCUGUCAAAAGGGAUCCCACCAACAUGACACCCCUGGACUAUGAGCCAAAACCGCCUUACUUGGGAUUCUCAUUGAGAACGGAAGCCCGAGCUCUGCCU